UACGAAGGGGGCUAGCGUUGCUCGGAAUCACUGGGCGUAAAGGGUGCGUAGGCGGGUCUUUGAGUCAGGGGUGAAAUCCUGGAGCUCAACUCCAGAACUGCCUUUGAUACUGAAGAUCUUGAGUUCGGGAGAGGUGAGUGGAACUGCGAGUGUAGAGGUGAAAUUCGUAGAUAUUCGCAAGAACACCAGUGGCGAAGGCGGCUCACUGGCCCGAUACUGACGCUGAUGCACGAAAGCGUGGGGAGCAAACAGG
rnacentral:rRNA from 1 species